GCUCUUAUGUUAAACAUAAACCUCAGUAAAUUUGUUGUAGAAACUCCUCUCCCUUUCCUCCUACUUUUGUUAUUUGGGUGUGUUUCCCUCAUGUGUUUGUCCCUGGUCCCUGUUAGAAGGUGUCUGGGCUGAGGCUGACCACGGGCCCACACUGCCUCCCUGUGCCGAGUUUGUGCAUAACACUCAGAGAAGCUGCUCCCUAAGGCUGCAGAGGAUGAGAGCUCAGGGGGUCAGUCCUGUCCCAGAGGCUCACCACUGUCGUUUACUCAGCUUUUCAUAUGGGGAGGCUGGCUUCACUAGGAAGGAUGUAAGAUAAAGCACUCAUGUUCCUUUCAUACAGAGCCACAUCGAGGGGAGAGGAGAGGGUCUGUGUUGAGGACCUGCCUCUACUUGCCUCCCGGGCUUUAGGCAAGGGACGGAGACCUCUACCUGUUCCCGUUGGUGACCCCAUGGCAUGGUAUGCCUUAAGUUCUGGUUACCUUUGUGACCAAGCCCACACCAUCCUUCCAGAGGGCUCCUGCAUAUCCUGGGCUCCGUCCAGACUCGGACCAAAUACGCCACCUCUGCGUGCCCUGAGCCUGAAGUCAGUCACCUUCCCCGGAGUCCAGUGAUUCGUACGUAUCGCAUCUUAGUCUCCCGUAGCACAUGUCGCAGUGGCCUGGCAUAUUGAAGGGUCUCGGUGUAUGCUUGUGGGUGAACGCAAAAGUGGUCCCAGUCCCAUGAUUUGGGAAGUGGUUAAGAUGGUGGAAGGAAGGUUAGAGAGGAAGCAGCAAAAGAGCAAGCGUAUGAAGAGGACUUUAACCCCCCAGUGUCCCCGUCCUCCCAAAGCCAAGGAAGAGAGAGGGACACUCCUUCCCCUCUGAUUGUCAUGUUGGGUUUCCCAUGGUUCUCCAUGCCAAGUCCUCUUGAACUCACACCUAUAGCUUUACUAACUUGGCCCACCCCCAACCUGUAUUGACUUUGGCAGCCAAGUGCCCCGGAUCAUGGUGAGAGCUCCUCAGGACCUUUUCACUGAGGCCCAAAGACCAAAUUCAAAUCCGGGAUACAUGAUUUAUUGGCGUGGGGUCUUAGGCAAGCCUCUCCACCUCUUGGAGCUUCCGUUCCCUCAGUUGUGAAAUCAACAUGGAGGCCGGUGUAAAAACCAUACCUG
rnacentral:lncRNA from 1 species